UACGUAGGCAGCGAGCGUUGUUCGGAAUUACUGGGCGUAAAGCGCACGUAGGCGGACUCUUAAGUCGGUGGUGAAAUCCUGGAGCUCAACUCCAGAACUGCCUUCGAUACUGAGAGUCUUGAGUCCGGGAGAGGUGAGUGGAACUGCGAGUGUAGAGGUGAAAUUCGUAGAUAUUCGCAAGAACACCAGUGGCGAAGGCGGCUCACUGGCCCGGUACUGACGCUGAGGUGCGAAAGCGUGGGGAGCAAACAGG
rnacentral:rRNA from 1 species